rnacentral:rRNA from 1 species
AUGUCGGCGGAGACGGAGACGAGCGCCGCCGCGCCGGCGCCCGCGCCCAUGCGGUGCCAGCGCAUAGGCUGCGACGCCAUGUUCACUGACGACGACAACCCCGACGGCUCCUGCCACUACCACCCCUCCGGACCUAUGUUUCAUGAUGGCAUGAAAGAGUGGAGCUGUUGCAAGCAAAGAAGCCAUGAUUUUAGCUUAUUUUUGGCUAUUCCUGGAUGCGCCACAGGGAAGCAUACAACUGAGAAACCAGUCACAAAAGCUGUUUCUCUUAACUCAAAGGCAACCCCACCAAAGUUAGCUCCAAUCCAGUCUUCUAAGCAGGGUGUGGAAACCGAGGCCUGCUCCAGGUGCCGUCAGGGUUUCUUUUGCUCCGACCAUGGAUCACAGCCGAAGGCACAAAAACCAGUUGCUGUAAAUGGUACAAAUACGGAACCUGUCGAAAAAUGCUCAGUUCCACAGCCCAGGAAAAAAGUUGUUAAUAUAAAUGAGCCUAGGGUUUGUAAGAAUAAAGGAUGUGGUAAAACCUACAAGGAGAAGGAUAACCAUGAUGCUGCAUGUGAAUACCAUCCAGGUCCUGCGGUUUUCCAUGACAGGAAUAGAGGGUGGAAGUGUUGCGAUAUCCACGUCAAGGAGUUUGACGAAUUUAUGGAGAUACCUCCGUGCACAAAGGGGUGGCACAAUGCCGAUGCUGUGUGA